UAAGACAAGAUUAAAUAAUUUAAAAAUAAAAAUAUUUAGGAAAUACAUAAGCUAUAUCCUGUAUUAUAAGCUACAAAAACUUACUAAAAAAAAUACCCAAACAAGGUUGAUGCUCGCUAUUAGUUUUAUAAAAAUAAUAUUAAAUUAUUUAUGAGGCUAGGCUAGGUUAACCUAUGCUCCAACUUUGCUUUUAUUUUCUAUAAAAAACUAUGAACUCUGGCUUACUAUUAAUAUAGAACUAUAUUAUUGGUAAAUGACUUUCCUUUAUCUUUCACUAAAUAUUUCUUUAUUUAACCUCACAGCAAAGCAGUAAGGACAGAAGUAUAAUAGAUGAUUAUGAGAUUACGGCUAGCCCUACUGCUUGUAUGUAUAAGCUACUAAAAACAUAAUAUAUUAUACGAAGUCAGUAAUUAUUAUUAUACCUUAAAAUUAAUAGGCGGAGCCUCCAAAACCUAGGUAUAAUUAAAAAUCUUUAAUAAAUAAACCAUCUAACUUAUUGAUCAUGUGGCUCUAUCUGUGAUUAGAUAAAGACCUAGUAAUUUUAUUACUAAAUUUAAUAGUUUCAAGCCUAAUAUUUUUAGAAUUAAAAAAUAAACCCUUGUUUCUGCGAAGAUACUCUUCUUUUUUAUAUAUAUCAAACCACCUUUGAGAGCCUUGGUCAAAAUCAGGUAGACGUAGUCUAACUUUAUAUUCAAAAAAUUUAGCAUGAUAUUCUAAAGCAUUUGUAAAACCAUUAAUUAUAUUUUUAUUUUCCAUAUUGUGUUUAAUUUUACCUUCCUCAUCAAACAAUUCAGACAUAUUGUGAGGAAUAUUUGCUAUACUUAUUACACCAUUACGUACUGUAAAUCCAUCACCACUUUUAUUAUGUAUGCUCCAAUCUGCAGAUAAAUCAGGGGCUACAUUGUUAUUAGGCUCAGUUCUAGAAGUUUGUGGUUGUUCGGGUUGUGUUUGAGAAGGGUUAUUAAUAAUAUUCUGAAUUUUCAUAAUAUUACCUGGUGUUCUAGGUGGUAUUUCACCACUUCCACCACUACUUCCGCUUCCGCUUCCGCUUCCGCUUCCGCUUCCGCUUCCGCUUCCACUUCCACUACCACUUCCACUUCCACUACUAUAAAAGACAUUGAUAUUUAUAUUAGUAUUACUUUCUUUAAAGUGACCAGCAUAGUUAUGAUUUUCAUAUCCAUAAUGAUCUCUAAUUAUAUCAUAAACAGUCUUUAUAAUAUUAACUAUCGAUCCUAAACAGGUAUAUGUUAAUAGUGUCAGGUAUAAAAAUAAAUCUUCUCCAAGAUAUCUAAAUAAAGCUAUGAUGAUUAAAAAAAAAACAGAAAUAAUAAAUUUAGAAAAAGUAAAAUACUGGUUAAGGUGGUUUAAACAAAAAGAAUUCCCCGCUAAUUUUUCUUUUAAUACUCCUUUUAAAGGUAAAAUAAUAAAUAAAGCUAAAAUAUUAGAUAAUAAUAAAGAUCAUGACUCAUGUAUAUCUGUAAAAAAAUAAUUUAAUACAAAUGUACUUAUCCCUAAUCUUUUUAUAUAAAAACUAAAAAAAAAAGAAAGGGAUAGAAACAAUAGGUUAAAUGGUUCUAAAAAAAAAAUUUUUAUUUUUUUAAUUAUCGAAAACUUACACUAAAUGCAGGUAAACUUACAAAAGCAUGAGGUUUAGGUGGACUACUUAAUCCUCAUUCUAAACUAGGGUAACUUCUAUUUAAUAUAGAUUGUAAAGUAUCCAUGUAGAACUGAGGAGUACGUCAAGGGUAUCUAUUAGCAACUACCCCUUCUACUAACUGUUUAUAAACAAUAUGUAAGAAUAAUCAAGCAGCAACUACGCUAAUAAUAGAACCAAAACUACUUAUUAAAUUUCAUCCUGCAAAAGCGUCAGGAUAGUCACUUAUUCUUCUAGGCAUUCCUUGUAAACCUAAGAAAUGUUGAGGGAAGAAUGUAACAUUAACUCCUAUAAAUAAUAGUCAGAAUUGUACUUUAGACAAUCCGAUGUUAUAAUUUAAUCCUAA
rnacentral:sRNA from 1 species